rnacentral:rRNA from 1 species
UACGUAGGUGGCGAGCGUUGUCCGGAUUUACUGGGCGUAAAGGGAGCGUAGGCGGACUUUUAAGUGAGAUGUGAAAUACCCGGGCUCAACUUGGGUGCUGCAUUUCAAACUGGAAGUCUAGAGUGCAGGAGAGGAGAAUGGAAUUCCUAGUGUAGCGGUGAAAUGCGUAGAGAUUAGGAAGAACACCAGUGGCGAAGGCGAUUCUCUGGACUGUAACUGACGCUGAGGCUCGAAAGCGCGGGGAGCAAACAGGAUUAGAUACCCUGGUA